rnacentral:rRNA from 1 species
UACGUAGGCAGCGAGCGUUGUUCGGAGUUACUGGGCGUAAAGGGUGUGUAGGCGGUUGUUUAAGUUUGGUGUGAAAUCUCCCGGCUCAACUGGGAGGGUGCGCCGAAUACUGAACGACUUGGAGUGCGGGAGAGGUGAGUGGAAUUCCUGGUGUAGCGGUGAAAUGCGUAGAUAUCAGGAGGAACACCGGUGGUGUAGACGGCUCACUGGACCGUAACUGACGCUGAGACACGAAAGCCAGGGGAGCAAACGGG